AAUAAAUUAAUAAUAAUAAUUAUCUAAUUAUUAAUAAUUAAUUAUAAAUAAUAAAUUAAUUAAUUAUUUAAUUAUUAAAGUAAUAAAUAAUGAUUUAAAUAUAUUAAUUAGAUUAAUUAAUAAUUUACUGCCAUUAAAAUUAAAUUUAGAUUUUAAUUAAUCUUGUUCUCAUCAAGGAACAAGCUAGUUCCAGGAAACGGGUGGAACAGCAGUUUCAGCCUUAUACCAGCUUAUUCCAGAAACCCGAGAACUACUGUUCUCGGAAACCAAACAUACCGUUUGGGAAUAAAGGUGGGAACAAGGACUUAUUCCCCCCUUGUUCCUGAACCAAACGUUACCUAAGAGAAAAGAUUAUAAGGUGAUUACCGACUCCACUGACUCGACCUCUCUUAACCUCCUAUGAACCUCGCGCAAUCCUCCGGGUUGUCCACGCUCUCACGUUCGAAUCCCCGAACGCCUCGCACACGUCCGAAUCCACGAACGCCACUAGAAUCCACGAGCUCACGAUUCGAAUCCUCGAACCACCUUGAUCACGCCGAAUCCACGACGCCG
rnacentral:lncRNA from 1 species